rnacentral:lncRNA from 1 species
GAGUAGCUGGGACUAUAGGCACCCGCCACCACGCCCGGCUAAUUUUUUGUAUUCACAGUACAGACGGGGUUUCACCGUGUUAGCCAGGAUGGUUUCGAUCUCCUGACCUCGUGAUCCGCCCGCCUCUGCCUCCCAAAGUGCUGGGAUUACAGGCGUGAGCCACCGCGCCCGGUGGAAAGGACACUUUUUUACAGUAUGAGCACUGAAACAAAAAGGCAAAGCAAGGUCUGUUCACCUUCAGCUGAGAACGUGAGGAUUGGUUCAGGAGUACAUGCGCAGGUUUGUCAUAUAAGCAAAUUAUGUGGCACAGAAGUUUGGUGUAUGGAUUAUUUCAUCACCCAGGCCGUUUCUCAGCGUUGGAUGUGCAAGCAGUUUUGAGAGAUGAAGUCAUGACUUCAAGACAAAAAAACAGGUUUGCUUAUUUUGCUACAAACCAAUAAGUUCUUCAGCCAUGCUGCAAAUCCACUGUGUAUCCAGUUCCCAUCUGCGGCCCGCACAUCAUCCCCAUGGGACUUGAGAGCAAGAGGAUCCCACGCAAAUCAUGUUGCUUGCUAUGCUGUAUAGAUGAAGGAGAGGCUGGUGUCUGCUUUUCACCUGAAGAUUCCUGGGAAUCACAUUUGCCUGAAGCAUUCAUAAGAGCAUGGCAAAAGGGGCAGUUGCUCUGUUGUGCCAGGAAGAAGAUGGAGGUAACCCCAUGCCUUCAUUCCAGUUAUCCAAAGCUCUCAAAGCUGUAGAAGAGAACUUCAAAGUUCUGUUUUAUUAUUAUUAUUAUUAUACUUUAAGUUCUGGGACACAUGUGCAGAACAUACAGGUUUGUUACAUAGGUAUACAUGUGCCAUGGUGGUUUGCUGCACCCAUCAACCCGUCAUCUACAUUAGGUGUUUCUCCUAAUGCUAUCUCUCCCCUUGCCCCCCACUCCCUGACAGGCCUCGGUGUGUGAUGCCACCCCCACCCUCGUGUCCAUGUGUUCUCAUUGUUCAACUCCCACUUAUGAGUGAGGACAUGUGGUAUUUGGUUUUCUGUACCUGUGUUAGUUUGCUGAGAAUGAUGGUUUCCAGCGUCAUCCAUGUCCCUACAAAGGUCAUGAACUCAUUCUUUUUUAUGGCUGCAUAGUAUUCCAUGGUGUAUAUGUGCCACAAUUUUCUUAAUUUAGUCUAUCAUUGAUGGGCAUUUGGGUUGACUCCAAGUCUUUCCUAUUGUGAACAGUGCUGCAAUAAACAUACAUGUGCAUGUGUCUUUAUAGU